rnacentral:rRNA from 1 species
CCGUGGACGUUUGAGAUUUGAGAGGGGCUGCUCCUAGUACGAGAGGACCGGAGUGGACGAACCUCUGGUGUUCCGGUUGUCACGCCAGUGGCAUUGCCGGGUAGCUAUGUUCGGAAAAGAUAACCGCUGAAAGCAUCUAAGCGGGAAACUUGCCUCAAGAUGAGAUCUCACUGGGAACUUGAUUCCCCUGAAGGGCCGUCGAAGACUACGACGUUGAUAGGCUGGGUGUGUAAGCGUUGUGAGGCGUUGAGCUAACCAGUACUAAUUGCCCGUGAGGCUUGACCAUAUAACACCCAAACA